AUAAUUUGGAUAUUUUAUUUAUUUAAUAUUAUUUUAUUUUUUAUGAAAGCAAAAUCUGCAGAUAGAGUCACACCUGAAUACCAUGAUUUCUCCACCACUAAAGGCCCGACAGAAGAGCAACAAAUCACACCAGAGAACUAUGAUGAUGUAAUCACUGUAGGACUGAGACAUCAUGCUACAGAUGACUUACCAGAAAACUAUGAUGAUGUCGUCAUCAUACGACAGUUCUCCAAUGAUAAAGCAGACUAUGAUGAUGUGGAGGAGGAACCAGGAAAACAGGCAGGAGCUGUAUAACACGAACCACAUCCACUGCCUCAAAUCCUUUCAAAGCUUUUAAAGUUUUAGCAAUC
rnacentral:lncRNA from 1 species